AAGGAAAGAUCAUAUCAAAGGCUAAGUUGCCAGAGAUGGGCAACCAAAAUCCUUCUGUUGUGUAGACACGUUAGUUGGGAUAAGGACUCAGUUUGAGCCAGUUUCAAAUGAAAGUUAUAUAUCAUGAUGAGGACUCUGAUUGGUAAGGCUUCUUGAGCUUGUUCCUGGCUUCCUGCAUGAAUUAUAUUUUGACUAAGAUGUGGCAUUCACAUUUCCUGGUUCAGAUCAUAAUUUUUUUACCCUGCUUCUCUGUAUUUUUAUAAAAUAUUUUAUAAAUAGGUGGUGCUUAAUAAGCAUGCUUAUCCUAGACGAAAAGGAAAAUUUAACUGCACCUACCGAAUAUUCAAAUCAGUACGGCCUUGGAUUAUGAGAGAUUUUGCUCAAAGUAGCUUAUUACAAAAUACUUGUGACGCAUUUUCUUUACAAAUUCUUGUGACUCAUUUUCUUAGGCUCACCUGUACACUUCAACUGCUUAAAUUUUGACAGAGAGAUUGAGAAGCGGACAAGCAUUUUGAGGUUUCUUGGAGAACUUUUGGCCCUUCCGAGGUAGAGUCAUUUUUUGAAUGAGGGUCUCCGCUUUAGAGCAGGGAUGAGGAACCGGUGGUUCUCACUCUACAAAGAAUGCCUGGCAAUAGUCGGCGGGUGAUCUUUUGAUGUAUUUUUUAUUGUUUGUCCAGGUGACUGACAUCCUUUGUAUUCUGGAUCUUGCUUAUUACUGGGUAGUGAGCCCCUGUCCAGAUUCUAGGAUAGGUGUUCCAUGUCAUAACACCGUUGCCAUGUAGGACAGAUGAGACAGAGAAGGUGAUUACGUCGAAGGGCUAAUCAAAUAACUAUAUGUUAUGUGCGGUCUAGAAGAAACUCCACAAAAACUCGAGUCAUUCUCUUGGCUGAUUAUUACAUGCCGAACAACCGAGGGAGAAAUAAGGGGAUCCAUGUAAGUGAUAUGUUAUCAGAUCACCUUAGGAGUGUACUGUAUCAGGUAGUUAUUUAAGACCGAGAACAAUUGGGAGCAUUCGAUCAUACCUAAUCAGUUGUGGGAAUUGAUGGGAUCACCAUGGUCGAACUAUUUCUAGGGUAUACUACAUGGAACAACGAUAAAUGAUUAUGCGAGAGGGGAUGUAAAGAAGUUGCUCAUGCCAAAAUAUUUCAAAUGGAAGAACCUGUAAUUAAAAUGUACGUUUCAAACAAGAGCCAUGGUGGACAGAUAUGAGUUCCGUGCCGAGUGCUACCGGAAAUGCUUGCGAGAGGGCUCACUGAAAUCCCAGUGCCGGGGAAGGCACACCAAUAAAAACCGGCAACUUUGUUGUGGAGAAUGCGGUAACAAAUUCACCGGAUAUGCCGCAUUCCAGUGCCACCGCACGGAAGUGUUACUCGUCGAAGUGCAUCUCACGAGGGCUGAUACCGAUGGAGGAUUGAGGUAAUGUUUGUUCUGCGUCUCCUGGUACCUGAUUGCCCUGCGUGAAGUAUUGGGAAAUUGGAUCAGAUGAAAAUAAAAAAAUUCAUUAGGUAUCCUAUGUUUUCAAGACAUAAAUUGAAUGUCGAUCGCUCCGUGUGAAAUAUUUUGAAGAGACGAAAUCCAAAGAAUUUGAGGGGCAAGAAUUCGAUCUCUCAUAAUAAACUCCUUUUUCUUGGAAAAUUCAGAGAACUGAUCUUCUGAUGCAUCUUUGAUUGUUUGUGGAGAUAACUUACAUGCUUGGUAUUUUGGAUCUUGCUUAUUACUUUGUAGUGAGGCUUUGUCCAGAUUCCAGGAUAGGUGUUUGAUUUCAUAACAGCUUUAUCAUGGAGAGCAGAUGUGACAGACGAGGUGAUCAAGUCGAAGGGAAUAAUAUAACUAUAUAUUAUGUGCAGUCUAAAAGAAACUCCACAAAAACUCGAGUCAUUCUCUUGCCUAAUUGAUUCAUGCCUAACAACAGGGAAGAAAAAGGGGAUUCAUGUCCCCUUUGGAAUAUACUGUAUCAGAAAGUUAUUGAAGAUCGAUAACAAUGGGGAGCAUUCAAUGAUAACUAAUCAGUUGUGGGAAUUGAUGGGAUAAUUAUGGUCAAAUUAUUUCUAGGUAUACUACAUGGAACAACGAUAAAUGAUUAGCUGAUGCCAACAUAAUAAUUGAAGAGGAAUAGUGGAUGAGGGAUUGGCUGGGGGUCAAGGAACAGCAACGAUAUUAACAAAUGGGAGUUCUCUCAAAACAAAACAUCAACAAUUAGGAUGUGGUUAGCAACCAAUCGACACAAGUAACAACAAGAACCCCGAGGAACCUAGGGAUCGAGAAAUAAACUUUUGGCUAGAAGACAUCUUGUAUUAGUGGGUUGUGAUAAAUUUGUCGUGGUAUCACUGUUGCAACGAAGUUUUUUCCGUGAGGGAUAGUGGUUAGAUGAGAGAAAAGAUAAAUAUCAGUACGACAGAUUCUGUCCAGUCAAAAUAAAUAUUUAUUGAGCCAAUCUUUUGUAACAUCCUUGAGGUUAUUGAGGAGGAUACCUUUUCUUUGACAUCAGUUGUUUUGAUAGGUAAAUGACGACAUUAGUACAUGGUUCGAUGGGAGAAAAGAAGAUCAAAUAUCAACACCCCACAAGUUAAAAAUAGAUAUUUAUUGAGCCAAUGGCUUGUAAACAUCCUUUAGGUUAUCGAUAAGGAUGCCUUUUCUUUGACAUCAGUUGUUUUUGAAUUUGUAAAUGACGACAUUAGUACAAGGUUGCAGGGCUUAAAAUAUAUCCCAGAGGACCCACAAAGAAUUGCUUAUGAAUCUCAUCCACUUCAUCUUAUAGUUAUAAUACUUAUCUAAAUAAACCUCAUGCGUUUUGGAACCUGGAAAGUGCGCACGUAAGAGACCAAUUUUGUAACGUCAGAUCGAUCUUCAAGUGAGUCCAAAUCAAUGUUUUUGCAUAUAAAACCAAUGUUUUUGUAUAUAAUACCACAGAUAUCAAUGGAACCACCAUCAUAGUAUUGUGAUAUAAUAUCUUGCUACCAUAUAAAACCUGACAGUGUAGAAGGAAAUUUCGAGAUAUAGGUAGGUGGAAUUGAUUACAAAUUGUAGCUACGUAAGAUCACACCAAAGAAGAAAUUUAUUUUCCUUCUACCUUACUGCUUCUUCCAAGCAUAACUUUACAUUUAGGCAAGUUGCACAAUACUGAAUGGAUCUUGUGCAUGCUCCAGCAUUAUUGACCCACCACCACCCUACGUUACACAAGGAGCGGAGAUCUACAACACUACAUAGUACACAGACAUUCCUACUCAGCGCCAGUAGGUCUCUAGCACUCUGAGGACAUAUAUUUUCCUUCUUUGCAACCCCUCAGUGGGGGACGAAGGUACCCACGUAGCCAAAUCCCGCAAUGAAGAACGCUGAAGCUUGAAACAACAAGUAGACGUAAAAGAGAUCAUUCCCAAAUGUAUAGUCAUAGAUUCCACAGUAGAGGAGGAAUGAGCCCAUGAAUAUCUCCAUCAGAUGGAUCCUGGUAUAUUUAAAAAAUAAAAGUCCGAUAACUACUCUAAGCUACUAAAUCUGUAGUUGCUAAAUUGUGUCCAACUAGGGAUAGCAAUUGCAAUGUUCAGGUAGUUUGCAUGUCAAUCAAUUCAUAGCGUACCUAUCACCAAAUUGAAAGCGCUUCUUGGUUCUGCUCUUGCUGGUAUUAGCCUUCUGUUUCAGGGCAUUUCCUAGCUUAUCUGUGACAACCCAUUCAUUGGCACGGUUCGCCUCCAACAGGCCUAUAAUUGUAGCCUUUACUCGGUGCAUGGACAUCACAUUCUCAAAAAGGAUCCAAAAGAUAAGCAAGUGCAUGGACCUGUACUGAACCAAAAAAAAAAAAGAAGAAGAAAAUCUUUGUAAGAACCAUGUAACUAGUUGAUGAUGCAUUAUAUGGUAGCACAAGUUAUAUGAAGUAAAGAAACCAUAUCUCCCAAUAACUUUUCUGGUUUGGUUAAAAUGCAACAACAAAAUAUUACCAUUAACACUUAACAACUAUAUAUUCUUUUACUGAACAAAUUAUCCUACAUCUUUUGUAACGUUUAUAAGUAAUAAUCUAUUGAAUCGGUCUCUGAAAAAUUCCAGGCAUAAUUUAGAUGUUUCAGCCAGCCUGUCCACGCCCAACAAAAAAAAAAAAAAAAACCAUUUUUAUAAUGUUCAGUAAUUCGACAUGCCUUGGAGUGGUUACACAAUUGAGGACGGUGAUGAUGGCUGGAAUGUAAACAGCAACAAACUUUGGAAGAGGGAUAUCUUGAACCAACACGCACGCCGGGAUAACAAUACAGUAGAAGAAGAAGGUGACGAAGUGUGCCACUAUUUUCCUCACGAAGAAGAAAGCAUAUAAGACAUGAAUCUUCUUCCAUAUGGAUACCCUCUGCACAAUUGAAAUAUGGAAUUAAUAGUGCAUAUCAUCUCACAUCAAAAUAAUAAUAAUAAUAAUAAUAAUGUAUAUCAUCUGUAAAAGGAGAGAGUAAAAUUUGCAUGAUUUAGUAAAAAUUAGAUCAACAGAAACUAGCGCUAUGGUGCAUCAAGUCAUAAUUUCAGGUCUGACUUUACCUCGCAAUAUGCUAUCUCCUUGAACAUCUUCCUGAACAAGUUGGCAGGACCACAUGACCAUCUAUGUUGCUGAAAUCUGUAUGCUUUGAACGUGCUCGGUAGCUCAUUCUUCACCUACGAAAUAUAGUUUUUGGUAUCGGCAUGCAUAUAUACUGUUCAGCUAGAAGAUAGCGUCAAGAAUUCAUGGCGAUAUUCAUAUCAUAAUUAUGAAGUGCUUACUGAUAGGUCCCCAACGAAGAGAAAUUUCCAUCCUCGAAGACUGGCUCUGACAGCCAGAUCCAUGUCUUCCACGGUCGUUCGAUCUUUCCAUCCACCAGCAUCAUGAAGCGCUCGAAUCCUCCAGACUCCAGCAGUCCCUGCA
rnacentral:lncRNA from 1 species